UGGAUGCCAGACUGGUCCACAAACUGUAAGCUAGCUUGGGCUGGUUGUUGGAUGCCAGACUGGUCCACAAACUGUGAGCUAGCUUGGGCUGGUUGUUGGAUGCCAGACUGGUCCACAGACUGUGAGCUGGCUUGGGCUAACAGCAGGCUACCUGACAGUUCAACAGAUUGUGAGCUGGCUUGGGAUGGUUGUUGGAUUCUAGACUGGUCCACAGACUGAGAGCUGGCUUGGGCUGAUUACUGGUCCACAGACUGUGAGCUGGCUUGGGCUGACAGCAGACUACCUGACAGUUCAACAGAUUGUGAGCUGGCUUGGGCUGGUUGUUGGAUGCCAGACUGGUCCACAGACUGUGAGCUGGCUUGGGCUGACAGCAGACUACCUGACAGUUCAACAGAUUGUGAGCUGGCUUGGGCUGGUUGUUGGAUGCCAGACUGGUCCACAGACUGAGAGCUGGCUUGGGCUGAUUGUAGGCCACUGGACUGGUCCACAGAUUGCGAUACAGCUUGUUCAGAGUUCUGGCUGCUGGCUUGAGAUGACUGUUGGAGGCUGGGCCGGGCCACAAGUUGGUAUCUUGCCUGUGCUAGCUGCACACCACUAGGCUGAACUGUUGAACCAUCACGUGACUGCACUAGUUGCUGGCCACUCAGUAAUGGCACAAGUCCAUAUCCAAAGCUGGCUUGCCCUAACUGAUACCUGGGUUGUGAGGACUCAUUUCUCUGCUGCAAAGGCUUGACCAAAAAGGUAGAACUUGACAUCUGGACUGGCCUGUUACCAGAAAAUAA